rnacentral:rRNA from 1 species
UACAGAGGGUGCGAGCGUUAAUCGGAAUUACUGGGCGUAAAGCGCGCGUAGGCGGCUUUGCAAGUCGGGUGUGAAAUCCCCAGGCUUAACCUGGGAACUGCAUUCGAGACUGCAUUGCUAGAGUAUGGGAGAGGGAGGUGGAAUUUCCGGUGUAGCGGUGAAAUGCGUAGAUAUCGGAAGGAACAUCAGUGGCGAAAGCGACUUCCUGGACCAAUACUGACGCUCAUGUGCGAAAGCGUGGGGACCAAACAGG